UCAUAUCGAUAAAGAGGUUAUAUCUAAUAAAAGUGAUCAUUAGGCAUGGGAUAUACUGUUAAAAGGCGUUGGUAUUGCUGACGAGGUGACUAUGGGCGUGCGGCAGAACAGCUGAUCGACUCGCACGUCAACAAUGGGCGAAGCAGCCGAGGAGGCCGUGCCCUUGGAGUCGCCAAGCGAUGGCAGGCGGAGGGAGGGCACGUUCGGCGUCACUCCCGCGCUGGGACGUCGUUCAGGAGUUCGUGAUGGAGCCUGAGAUGACUAUGCCAAUUGCAACCAACGGAUUGCAGAAGGAGGAAAGCGAGGAAGCUAUCCUCCUACGCUGCUUUGGGGAGGAGGGAUAGGCAGAAAGGAGAACAGGAAAGAUAACAAUAGAUUAAAAGAGAGAGUAGAAUGAGAGAGUGGGAGAGUAGGAGGGGAUAUGGUGAGCAAAUAGAGUAUUUUAUAGAGAUUAAGAGAUUACACAUAUACUUAACUCUUAACACCUGUUCUUGGUUUCAGAUGCAACGUCAAAAACCUUUAGGCAUCAAACUUCGGCGUAAAUGUCACCAAGAAUCGACUGCAUGAAGAAAUUACGUGACUAUAACAAAAAUAGAAGGUACAGCAUUUACGAUAUAUGUGUCCACGAAGAUCAUACUGUUACCGGGAACAAAGAUAUAUUCUCUUCUACGAGGGCGUGAGAAAUUGACAUAUUUUGGAUGCGAAUUUGAUUCGAUAAAAUAAAUUUUACAUGAGCUUC